rnacentral:rRNA from 1 species
UACGUAGGGGGCUAGCGUUGUCCGGAUUUAUUGGGCGUAAAGAGCGUGUAGGCGGCCAGACAAGUCUGCUGUGAAAACUCGAGGCUCAACCCCGGAGGGUCGGCUGAUACUGCAGGACUGGAGUACGGAAGAGGUAGCUGGAAUUCCCGGUGUAGCGGUGAAAUGGCGUAGAUAUCGGGAGGAACACCUGAGGCGAAGGCGGGCUACUGGGCCGAUACGUGACGCUGAUGCGCGAAAGCCAGGGGAGCAAACGGGG